GCUGGUUUUGUCUACAUGGAUGUUCAGCACAGGCACAGCUAUAUUAAUAUUAACUCUUUGCAGGAUUAAACAAGAAUAAUCAUCACUAUCCCUAUACAAACCCGAAAAAUGAAAUCAUGACUGUGGAUUCAGGCAACGUCACUGCUUGUUAAGCGCCCCCACGUAUAUGUUUGAGUUCAUAUCUACAAUUUCAAGGAGAACAAUCGGACUUGUACAUAAAAAAGAAUGACGAUGAUCCUGAGAUUCUAACGGAUAGUGUGGAGAUGCCUCAUUUCAAUCAACGCUCAUAAUUGCACUCCCGGCCUCUUCAACAUACACCCAUUUCACAUAAUAUGGCAGGAAUGGCACCUACCUUUCUGGCAGCAAAGCCCAGGCAAGGAAGGUGGAGGGCGUCUACUUGGGUCAGACUGGACAGGCAGUGGUAGUAGAAUGCCUCCACCCAGAACCAGCACUUCUUCCACUAGCCUUCUUUCUGUCCUUCAACAGCCAGGGAGUUCCACCCAAUCACCUGUUUACACUUCGGCUUCUGCUGGACAGAGCUUUCCUCCACCAGGGACACCGUCUCAUAGAAGGGCAGCUCAGUAGGUGCUGGAAGACACCGCCCACCGGAAGAAGAGAAUAAUAUCAGCCAUUCUUCAAACUGCAAUAUUCAGCAAUGUAAUCUUAACCAUUAUUUUAUGCAGUACGUGUUCGGGACAUAGGUAGCAUUAAUUGGGAGAACAGUAGUCAGGAGGGACAGCGGACUCAGGAAAUGCUAAAAAACAACAUGGACCCAGAGCAACCAGGCCCAUGUCAUUACCAACCACUCUACAGUGAAGAAACCCCAUUGCACAGUCACCUGAACCACUGACACAACCUCUUCAUCUAGGAUCAGGUUACUCAGCGGAGAGGACUGGUCAGCCACCUAGUCCUGUCUACCACAACUCAACCUCAGUCUGAUCUUCACCUCCCUGACCGCAGACCCACAGAAUCCCUCAACCUGAUGUGCCCUUCUCCCUUCGUGCUGCUACUGGUCAAUCUAAAAAGCAGGCCUUUGGGCUGGUGUUCAACCAGGAAAAUGGCCAAGUGGAGCAUGUUUACAGGCAAUCUGCCACCUCUUGUUCAACGAAUGUAUCGCAAGAAGCCUUAACCCAGGAAAUGCCUGAAACACACCUGAUGAUGACUAUGCUGGAGGCUGAUGGGUCGUCCCUGUUCUCUCUUUCACGACAUGACAUCUCUGGGUCACGGGACCAUCCCAUCUACCCUGACCCUGCCAGGUGAUUCCUUUCGAUCUCUGAUGAGUGAUGUUUGGCUUGACUUUAGAUGAUCAGCAGGGACCCUGGCGACCCAUGUGUGUCGUCAUACGGUUACACUGAAAUUACUUUGAAUUUAGUUUAUUUAAAUUAUCAGCUCGUUUCAAGUUUGGAUAGAAAUAAAGUAUGCAUUGACCUACAACACGCCUUCGAAGUAACUUUCUCUGAACGCCAUUCACCUCCUUAAAUGUGUAAAAUAACAAAAACGAUUUGUUCUUGCUGUAAGACUAUCACAAUUUUUUGAGGUAAAAUAUUGCAAUGCUUCAAAUACAUCUCCCCCAACCCUUGGUUUGUUUGUUGGUGUGUAUGAAGGGCCGGUAAUUGUGUGACUGUUGUGUAAUGGAGUGUGAAUUUCAUAGUCGCACUGAUUCUUGCGGCUGUUUGGCCUGCGAUCUCUGGGUAAUGAGGAACAGUGUGUGUCAUGCCGCUGGACAGCGGUGUGACAUUUCAGACCUGCCAGCGCCCCAAUGUCCCCCUAAUUCAAACACGCACACAUAGCCUGUCAGCAUUCUCUAACUCUGUGAGAGAGGCUCAUAAUAAAGCAAGUUCAUGGCUAGUAGUGAGUCAUUGUUAGGCUCUGGGGAAUUAGCUGUGGUUCGGGAUCAAGACAGAUUGUUAGCACGGACUCCCACUGGCUGGUACAUACAAACACAUAGACCGACCCGCACCUCUAACCUGUGAAUUACGAGAACAGACUCAUUUUCUCUUGGGGAUAGUGUACCUGAUGAUCGAAGCCAUUCGGGCAGAGAAAUAGUCUGACUCCAACACAUUCAGACCCAGGGGUAAAUGGCACUAUUUACACUGUUGUUUCGUGGAUCUCUCUGUCUGUCUGCCUGUCUACCUCCUCAUUUGUCUGAAACUAAAUCUACAACAUCCUCAAACACAUGCUGAUAAACUGUUUAAUAGUUUGCUAAUGCUAAAACGUUGGCAUCAGUAAACACGUCCUCUGUGUGUGUGUGUGUGUUUUGUCUUGAGGGUCUUCGAGACAGACUGUCACUAUUUUGGCUGUUUUACAUUUCCUGAGGAGUUCUGAGAAGUUCUGCCAAGAUUCUGUCCUGUAAUUGAACAUGUGUCAGUUUGCCCCUGCACAACUACUACUACAUGACAGGAAGAGGCUCCCGGUUGUCUCCCGCAGCACAUUAUGCACACACAGCGUAUGAUGAUCCAGUAUCUGUCUUGACGUGACAGCAUUUGGCUACGCUCUCUCUGUCACCCUGACCCCACUCCUCUAAUCCAGACAGCCUCUCCCGUGGCCCCGCCCCCAGUGCAGAGAACAACGCAGGCGACUUUGAAGAGUUCGAGCAGUUCCUCUUGCCCGAGUUUUUGCCAUAUGCUGGAAUCUUCCAUGAGAGAGGGAAGCAGGGCCUGGCAACACACUCAUCCGUUAAUAGGGUUCUUGCAGCCACCUGUGCAGAACUCUCUCCUCUUUGAACUACAGCUGACAGAGCAACCAUUCAGGGAUCACCAACUGGCAGACUCCGGUCCGAAUGUGGAUUGCAAGACGUGUCUGUCCGGACUGCAAAAAGCCUUUUGACAUAACAAAUAAAUAAACGCUAAUUUCUAAUGCAAUCAAAUUUAUACCAGGCACAUCAAGGUCCGCUCAGUAGCAGUUUGGGUCCUCUCUGUCUUGACAUUAUUAUAAAAUUAUGCUCAAUAUAUUGUUAAGAAAUGGUGUGGUGUGUGUGCUGUUUUGUUUCUGUACGCUCAUUUUCUUUUUCUCUUUAGAAUUCUCUUUUUGAAUAAUUGUCAGGGACAACUCAACAUGAUGAGAUUGGUGAAAACAUGUCUGAGGCUGACUGAAUACCUCUUGACAAUAACAUCAGCCAGGGAGAUGUAUAAAAAAUCAUAUGGCCUCAGUUUAGAAAUGUGUAUCUGUUAAUAAAAAUGGUUUUGGGUAUUAACAAACAAGAUGCAUACUUGCUGUGAACUUUUGAACCAGGUUUUAAAGUCCCUCUCCACAUUUCACGACUUCUUUCUUUAUUAUGUAACUGUGUAGUUGUAAAUGAAUACAUAAAUAAAUAUAUCCCCAAAGUGAUUUGUCCACCUCAUAAAAUUCACCUCAGGUGCCCCGUACUCCCAAAUGUUUCAUUUUCGAGGGUGAAGUUACUGUGUGUCUCUGAGGAAAAUGGCUACUGUGAAAAGGUUUAGCCCGUAACUGUGCUGUGACAGAUGAUAAAUAUUUAAUCUCUCAGCCUUGUUUUAGUGAUUUUUUUGUAUAAUCGUGAGUGUAGCUUAUAAACUCAGUCUGUUUUUUCAUAUGUUCCACCCCAGUCCUCCAAACAUCUCUAAAGU